rnacentral:rRNA from 1 species
AGGAGUGGAGCCUGCGGCUUAAUUUGACUCAACACGGGAAAGCUUACCAGGCCCGGACACCGGAAGGAUUGACAGAUUGAGAGCUCUUUCUUGAUUCGGUGGGUGGUGGUGCAUGGCCGUUCUUAGUUGGUGGUGUGAAUUGUCUGGUUAAUUCCGUUAACGAACGAGACUCUAGUCUGCUAAAUAGGCGUUAUUCCGGUAUCCUGAAGGCUCGUGUCUCUCGUUUUCUGUCGUGCUCUUGUUUGUGGUGUAUCAUCGUUUAGGCGGUGUGCAUUGCACGGGGGUGCGUUUCAGUGCGAGAGUUCACGGUUUUUACUACCGGCGUACAUAUAAAUCUUCUUAGAGGGACAGGCGGCUUCUAGCCGCACGAGAUUGAGCAAUAACAGGUCUGUAAUGCCCUUAGAUGUUCUGGGCCG